rnacentral:lncRNA from 1 species
GAGGGCGCCAUGCAGCGCACAGCGUAACUCAGUGCGUGUGGCCCUUCUGUCUGAUCUCUCUCUGAUUCAUACUGUGGCUCUCAAUCACAGUAAACAAAAGAGACGCGCGCCGACCCGGAAGUGGAAGCCGUAACUUCGCGUUCUGGCCGACCGGAAGGAGACUGAAGGGAAGUUGUAGCCAUGGCUGUGGCCGUGGCUACUGCCGGGGUCCUAAUGGUCUCGGAGCCCGGCCCCGCGGAAGAGCUCGCUAAACUCGAGUACCUGUCUUUGGUGUCGAAAGUUUGCACGGAGCUGGACAAUCACUUGGGCAUCAACGACAAGGAUCUGGCUGAAUUUGUGAUCAGUCUUGCUGAGAAAAAUACCACAUUUGAUACUUUCAAGGCUUCUCUGGUCAAAAAUGGUGCAGAAUUCACAGUAUGUAUAUCUGAA